rnacentral:piRNA from 1 species
UAGGUCAAAGAUCCUGACUCGUGCAUCA